CUUUGAUGCGACUAAGCUAUUGUUUCAUCAUAAGAGUCCGUAGUUCACUACAUUUGUAAAGAGGCUAUUUUGUAUCUGGACUGAUCCUAUGUUAUGCAUCUAUGAUAUAUUUUGCAAUUCAGUGGAAGUUUACCUCUCA